GAUGAACGCUAGCGGCAGGCUUAACACAUGCAAGUCGAGGGGCAGCGCAGUGUAGCAAUACAUGGGCGGCGACCGGCGCACGGGUGCGUAACGCGUAUCCAACCUUCCCGUUACUCUUGGAUAGCCUUCCGAAAGGGAGAUUAAUACAAGAUGGUGUUCAAAUUCCGCAUGUUAUUUGAACUAAAGAUUUAUCGGUAACGGAUGGGGAUGCGUGACAUUAGGUAGAUGGCGGGGUAACGGCCCACCAUGGCGACGAUGUCUAGGGGUUCUGAGAGGAAGGUCCCCCACACUGGUACUGAGACACGGACCAGACUCCUACGGGAGGCAGCAGUGAGGAAUAUUGGGCAAUGGGCGCAAGCCUGACCCAGCAAUGCCGCGUGAAGGAAGACGGUUUUCGGAUUGUAAACUUCUUUUAAGAGGGACGAUAAUGACGGUACCUCUUGAAUAAGCCACGGCUAACUACGUG
rnacentral:rRNA from 1 species